rnacentral:rRNA from 1 species
CAGCCGCCGCGGUAAUACGGAGGGGGCAAGCGUUGUUCGGAAUUACUGGGCGUAAAGCGCGCGUAGGCGGUCUGGCCAGUCAAGCGUUUAAUCCCUCGGCUUAACUGAGGUUCUGCGUUUGAUACUACCAGACUUGAGUACGGGAGAGGAGAGUGGAAUUCCAUGUGUAGCGGUGAAAUGCGCAGAUAUAUGGAGGAACACCUGUGGCGAAGGCGGCUCUCUGGACCGCUACUGACGCUGAGGUGCGAAAGCGUGGGGAGCAAACGGGAUUAGAUACCCCGGUAGUCCACGCCGUAAACGAUGGGUACUUGGUGUAGGGGGCAUCGACCCCCCCUGUGCCGGAGCUAACGCAUUAAGUACCCCGCCUGGGGAGUACGACCGCAAGGUUGAAACUCAAAGGAAUUGACGGGGCCCCACACAAGCGGUGGAGCAUGUGGUUUAAUUCGACGCAACGCGAAGAACCUUACCAGGGUUUGACAUGU